AGCUGAGGAGACACGUUCAGAUGGCACCCAAGUUAUCGGGCAAAUAAUGUUUCGCUAACGCUGAGUCAAGUUUCCUCCAGGCACUACCAGGCAUUCGGUCUGUGCCACAAUUUAAACGAUCCAAGAGUUCAGAGGUUGAAACAGGUAAGCCAAGUUCGGUGAUUCCGGAACAAACCAGCUCAGAGUUAUUUGAGGUGAGAGGGGAGAAAAAAGAAGAAGAAAAAACAAGGAACACAAAUGAAUUGCUAUUCUUGCAUCAUGUUGCAUUCGAUUCUCAUGAGCAUUUCUUUUGUGUCCUCCGCCCUUGGUGUAUUGCUCUGUGUCAACUCCACAGGAUAUAAGAAUGACAGUGAAGGCUUUGACUCACCAUAGUCCUUUUCAACUGAUCUGGGAUCAAGUUCAAGGCCAUCUACUGAAAGAGAAAUAUUGAAAGACAUUGGUUUCUUCACAUUAGAAAAGGGGUUCUUCUGUAUGAGAUAUAUUGAUACAUUGGCAUUUUUGGUCUGUGCUCUUUGCCUAAGGUUAUUGGUAAGUAUUAGCUACACCUUAAUGUAUUCCUUGAUUGAUUUCAAAGCGUUGCAUUGUUCUGCUUAGGUUGAAGUACAUAAAAAUUUUUCUAACUGAAAGUUGAAUCUAAAUUACUGUCUUACUGACAGUUAAAAAAAAAAAAAGCUACAAAUAUAUUACAUCAAAAAUGAAUGAAAAAAAGUAAUGACAGGAACAAAAGUAAUACAAAAAUCAAUUUUUUUGUUUUUGUUUUAAUCAAGUGGCACAUUGGGCACAUGGGAUAAAAGGGGCAGGUGCUCACCCCCUGCCCACACACACACAUGCCUGGUGUUCUGUGAUGUCAUAAAAGGCUUCUCUGGUAGUACGAGAAAGCAGAUUUAAUAAAAUAUUUUUCAGUCACAGAUUAAUGAGUGAAUGAGUGAAGUCGUGGAAUUCUAUCUUUUGUCUUUCAGUUUCAGACAUAAGGGCAAACAACAUCUAUCAAUUCCAUAAUCAACAAUAAUUAAAUCAUAAAUCUGAGCUAAUGAAGUUUUCUGUAACUAAAUAUUUGACAAACCUCCUGCAGUUAACUUUGUCAUGUUUCAGGUAUUCAUUACCGCAGAUAAUAGGAACCUAUUUUUUUUUUUUUUCAGGUCCUAAAAGACUGUUUUUUUCAACAGGUGAGAAACAGUGAGUAGCAGAAAAACCUGCAAUGAGGUCCCUGAAUUCAACCUCCUUUUUGAACACCACUAUUGUGCGUCCUGAGUUCUUUUUCAUACGUGGUCUCGCUGGUAUUCCCCACACAAAAUACUACUAUUUCUUCUUGUGCUUCGUUUAUGCUGUGACUCUACUGGCGAACACUUUUGUCAUGCUUAUGAUUUACACCGACCACUGUCUUCACAGUCCGAAAUACAUUGCAGUGUUUAAUUUGGCUGUGUCUGACUUGUGUGGAAGCACAACACUCAUUCCUCAGUUGAUCGACACCUUCUUGUUUAAAUCACAGCUAAUAGCCUUCGAGGCCUGCCUGACUAACCUGUAUUUUAUUUAUGUCUUUUACGCGAUGCAGUCUCUCACUCUCACUAUUCUUUCCUAUGAUAGAGGUGUUGCUAUAUGCUUCCCACUGAGAUACAAUGAGAUCGUGACUAAUAAAUCAAUGCUGUUGAUCGUAAGUAUAUCGUGGAUGUUUCCAUCAGUUGCCACUCUCAUAUCUACAAUUAUUCUCAGCAGACUGUCAUUCUGCAAAUCCAUUGUGGUGAACAGUUUUUUCUGCGACUACGGACCCAUAUACAAUUUGGCUUGCAAUGACAACACUCCGAGUAAUGUGAUUCGUUGGACGUAUCCUGUGGUGUUUCUAUGGUUUCCGUUACUGUUUAUCAUAGGCACAUACAUUUCUAUAGCCAGAGCAUUAUUGAAAAUUGCUGCGGCAUCCGAGCGCCUCAAAGCCAUGAAAACCUGCAGCGCUCAUUUGAUCUUGGUGAGUGUGUAUUAUUUUCCUUUAUGCAUCUCUUUCGUACUGGGCUCCAGCAUUCACCAGAACAUCAGGAUUAUGAACAUGUGCCUGGCGACCGUCUUGCCACCGAUGCUGAAUCCAAUAAUUUACUCACUGAAGACGGAAGAAUUCAGAGAAUCCGUUAAGAAGCUGUACAAGCGAAAGAAGAUACACAUCACUGUAAGAAAUAAAUGAAUAAACGUUUCAAUCGUGAACGACUGACUGGGACGUUUGACUCUCACUUUCGGUGUAGGAGAGCACAGAAAACCACGUUCCGUCCUCUGAUAUACGUGAACGUCAAACCACUGCAGUCCACAAAAUUUGCUGUCGAACAGAAGCUGAGUUUUGUGGACAAGCCGGAAUGAGCCGGAAGGGGGCACGUCAUGUGCAGUGUCCCCCUUGAGGGUUGCAGUUCUUGGACGCCUAUGCAUCUACUUUGGGACCUCUCUGGUGCAGCAGUGAUUUGUAGUGAAUUUUCCAUAUUGUACCUCUAUAACCCAUUACAUGUUUGACUUGGGCUAAGCCUUUAAGGCUGGAGCGGUGAUCCUGCUGUCAAUGCAAAUACAAAGUUUCAUAGGC